UUUGUGGUUCAUGACUGGGGUGAAGUCGUAACAAGGUAGCGCUAGGGGAACCUGGCGCUGGAUCACCUCCUUAUACGA
rnacentral:rRNA from 1 species